rnacentral:rRNA from 1 species
GGUUCAAUUCCGGAGAGGGAGCCUGAGAAACGGCUACCACAUCUAAGGAAGGCAGCAGGCGCGCAAAUUACCCAAUUCUAACAGCAUAAGAGAGGUAGUGACAAGAAAUAACAGUACAAGGCAGUUAAAAUGCUUUGUAAUUGGAAUGAUAGAAAUUUAAAUACUUUUUAAAGUAUCAAUUGGAGGGCAAGUCUGGUGCCAGCAGCCGCGGUAAUUCCAGCUCCAAUAGCGUAUAUUAAAAUUGUUGCAGUUAAAAAGCUCGUAGUUGAAUUUUUGCUAAAAAUAACCGGUCUGCUUUUAUUAAUAAAAGUGGUAUCUUGGUGUGUUUUUAGCAAUAAUGUCCUUUGAAAUGUUUUUUACUUUAUUGUAAAAAGCAAUUUUCAGGAUUUUUACUUUGAGAAAAUUAGAGUGUUUCAAGCAGGCUAACGUUUUGAAUACUGCAGCAUGGAAUAAUAAAAUAGGAUUUUAGUUCUACGUUAUUGGUUUUAAGAACUAAAUUAAUGAUUGAUAGGAGCAGUUGGGGGCAUUUGUAUUUAA